rnacentral:rRNA from 1 species
GAUGAACGCUGGCGGCGUGCUUAACACAUGCAAGUCGAACGGUGAAGCAGAGCUUGCUCUGUGGAUCAGUGGCGAACGGGUGAGUAACACGUGAGCAACCUGCCCCGGACUCUGGGAUAAGCGCUGGAAACGGCGUCUAAUACCGGAUACGAGAUUCCACCGCAUGGUGAGUUUCUGGAAAGAUUUUUUGGUCUGGGAUGGGCUCACGGCCUAUCAGCUUGUUGGUGAGGUAAUGGCUCACCAAGGCGUCGACGGGUAGCCGGCCUGAGAGGGUGAGCGGCGACACAGGGGAUGAGAGGAGGGCGAUACUCCUACGGGAGGCAGAGGUGGGGGAUAUUGCACAAUGGGCGGAAGCCUGAUGCAGCAACGCCGCGUGCGGGAUGACGGCCUUCGGGUUGUAAACCUCUUUUAGCAGGGAAGAAGCGAAAGUGGCGGUACCUGCAGAAAAAGCGCCGGCUAACUACGUGCCAGCCGCCGCAGUAACAC